rnacentral:rRNA from 1 species
AAUACGUACCAUAAGACAAGGGAGACGAGUGUUAUUCAUCUUUAACAGGUAUAUAGGGUACCUAGACGGUGUGCAAUGGCUUAAAUAAGUACCUGGUACACUUGAGUUUGAUAUGUGAGAGGAAUAUGUCGGAAUUGUUGGAGGAAAGAUGAAAUUUGUUAAUACCAAUAGGACUGAUAACGGCGAAGGCAAACCUCUAUGUACAUGUACUUGCUAUUUCUAUUUGUUUAUUUUUUUUUCAAUAGAAAAAAAAAGAAACUAAAAAAAAGAAACUAAAAAAAAGAAACUAAAAAAAAGAAAUUUUUUUUUGUGAAGGAAUAUAUGAAAUAUUAAGCAAAAGAGCAAUGUACUAUAACUGACGUUGAGGGACGAAGGCUCAGAGAGUGAAGAGGAUUAGAUACCCCCGUAACCUGGGCAGACAAUGAUGAGUGCCAUAGGUUGGCUUUAAGGCGGAACUAUAAAUGAAAGUGGAAGCACUCCACCUCAAGAGUAAUGUGGCAACGCAGGAACUGAAAUCAUUAGACCGUUUCUGAAACCAGUAGUGAAGU